UUUAAUUAUACAUGUAAAGAUCUGAUCGAUAGAUUUGACACGUGUCACGAUCUUAUGAGUUACUAACUUUGAAAUCAUACUUUAUAUAAUAAGAUAUA
rnacentral:sRNA from 1 species